rnacentral:rRNA from 1 species
AUGCUUCUCCUAAAGACUAAGCCAUGCAUGCCUUCGAAUAAGAGGAAGCAAUUCUCUCUGAAUCUGCGAACGGCUCCGCAAACCAGUUGUAAACUAUAGCAAGCCCGCAAGGGUGGGCCUCGGCUCGCCUGCGCGAUACGGAUAACCCUGGUAAUUCUAAGGCUAAUACGUGUAUGUAACACCCGGUGGACCGGCUUCGGCUGGGAAAUCGGGAGACGAGUGAUGGAAUGUUUGGAUUACCAGGAACGGGCA